rnacentral:rRNA from 1 species
AGAAUCAACGCUGGCGGCGUGCCUAACACAUGCAAGUCGAACGAGAAAGUGGUAGCAAUACCAUGAGUAAAGUGGCGCACGGGUGAGUAACACGUGACUAACCUACCCUUGAGUGGGGGAUAAACUGAGGGAAACCUUAGCUAAUACCGCAUAAUACCCACGGGUCAAAGGAGCAAUUCGCUCGAGGAGGGGGUCGCGGCCGAUUAGUUAGUUGGCGGGGUAAUGGCCCACCAAGACGAUGAUCGGUAUCCGGCCUGAGAGGGCGCACGGACACACUGGAACUGAAACACGGUCCAGACUCCUACGGGAGGCAGCAGUGGGGAAUUUUGCGCAAUGGGGGAAACCCUGACGCAGCAACGCCGCGUGGAGGAUGAAGUCCUUCGGGACGUAAACUCCUUUCGAUCGGGACGAUUAUGACGGUACCGGAAGAAGAAGCCCCGGCUAACUUCGUGCCAGCAGCCGC